rnacentral:rRNA from 2 species
AGCAUCCGUAGCUCGUUUUGUAAGUUUUCGGUUAAAUCCAUGCGCUUAACGUAUGGGCUGCCGGGAAUACUGCAUAACUAGGAGGUGGGAGAGGUAGACGGUACUCGGUAGGAAGGGGUAAAAUCCUUUGAUCUAUUGAUGACCACCUGUGGCGAAGGCGGUCUACCAGAACACGUUCGACGGUGAGGGAUGAAAGCUGGGGGAGCAAACCGGAUUAGAUACCCGGGUAGUCCCAGCUGUAAACUAUGCAAACUCAGUGAUGCAUUGGCUUGUGGCCAAUGCAGUGCUGCAGGGAAGCCGUUAAGUUUGCCGCCUGGGAAGUACGUACGCAAGUAUGAAACUUAAAGGAAUUGGCGGGGGAGCACAAGCCG